AUUGAACGCUGGCGGCAGGCCUAACACAUGCAAGUCGAACGAGCGGCGGACGGGUGAGUAAUGUCUGGGAAACUGCCUGAUGGAGGGGGAUAACUACUGGAAACGGUAGCUAAUACCGCAUACCAUCGGAUGUGCCCAGAUGGGAUUAGCUAGUAGGUGGGGUAAUGGCUCACCUAGGCGACGAUCCCUAGCUGGUCUGAGAGGAUGACCAGCCACACUGGAACUGAGACACGGUCCAGACGCCUACGGGAGGCAGCAGUGGGGAAUAUUGCACAAUGGGCGCAAGCCUGAUGCAGCCAUGCCGCGUGUGUGAAGAAGGCCUUCGGGUUGUAAAGCACGUUCAGCGGGGAGGCGUUACGCGCAGAAGAAGCACCGGCUAACUCCGUGCCAGCAGCCGCGGUAAUAC
rnacentral:rRNA from 1 species